GGGAGUAUAGCUUAGUGACAGAGUACAUGAUUGGCAUGCAUGAGGCUCUGUCUUCUAUCCACAGUGCUUCCC
rnacentral:tRNA from 1 species